UUUAGAAUUAAAUGUAAUAUAACUCUGGGUAAGUAGUAGAUAAGUACUUAAAAAUUAAAAAAUUUGGCGGUGAUUUAAUCUUUUUAGAGGAACUUGUUUUUUAAUCGAUAAACCACGUUCAAUCUUACUUGUUUUAGUAGAUCAGUAUGUAUACCAUCAUUAGCAGGUAAUUUUAACAGGAAAAAUUACUAAAAAUAAUUAAUUACAUAAAUUAGAUCAUGGUGCAGCUUAUAGACAAGGUAAAAUGAGUUACAAUAAAGUAUUUUAGAUGAAUUGAUAAGGGAAUCCUUAUUAUAAAGGUGGAUUUAAUUGUAAAUGUGGAUUAAUAAGCCUAUUUGAUAUUGGUGCUAAAUCAUGUACAUAUCGCCCGUCGCUUUCGCUAACCGAA
rnacentral:rRNA from 1 species